rnacentral:lncRNA from 1 species
GGACACGAUGGGCACGGACGAUCAAGGCCACGAAGAGGGAAGUUCUGCUUCCAUAUUCGGCACAAGAAGGUGACCUUGGAGCAUCGCAACCCUUUGAAAGCUGCUGUGAGCCGAAGACGCCGAAUGAGAGUCUCGGAAGACGCCGAGUGCCCGGGGUAUAGAUGUUAAUUCAGUUUGGUGUCUGGUUACAGCUGCUGGCACGGCCGCCCUCCGCCGCUGUUACCUGAUGGCGCCUGGCUAUCCUAGAGCUCAGACGAGCUGGCAGUUUGGAACCCGGCCUGGCCGCACAGAAGGAGCUGCUUAACAUGAUACCGCCGAUGAGGAAUCCCACAAUCCUGCUCUCCUAAUUCUCAGUUCGAAUCGUCCUUUACGUGAGGAUCGUCGCUCCGGAUCCAUCCGGGAGCCUCGCAACAGCCCGUCGUGUUCGUCGUCCCCGGUUCGGGACCAUCUUUCUUAGACCGAGCCUGGGCCCGUGUUACGGUGAAGGCAGAUCGAGCAGGAGCUCGACGUUCGAGCGUCUAACCCUACCCACGAAGGCGCCGAAAUCGCGGAGGAAAUCUUUGCUUUUGCGCUCCGUGGUAGCCAGCUCAUUUCAAGGUACAUUGCGCGGAGAGGGA